GAAUGACGAGUAUAUAUAUAUACAUAGUUCCGCGAAACGAAGCAUAAUAACGUUGACAUAUAUUUGUAACGUAGGGUCGUUGUUCAAUGCUCACAUUCAUUUUCACUCGCUAUCUAUUUCUCGAUUUGUUCACGAGAAUAAUAUAAUGCUGCCGAUAAGUAUAUGCAAUGAUAAUAACUUUAUGACUAUAUAUAUAGUAGUUUAUUGUAGUUGGUGAAGUAUGUUACAUCGCUACUCUUAGUCGCGUUUCAAGUGAUAGAUUAUAUUAGAUAUUUAAGUUAAACGAGACAGAUGUGCCUUUUUUUUUAUAGUAUAUUGAAUAUUUUAGCGCUAGAAACUCAUCAUUAUUAAGUCAUGUUUAUAUAAAUGCUCAUUUGUAACGAUUGCCGCCGAAGUCAGUGCAAAGACUGCCAACAUCUUGCAACAUUAGAUGUAACGGGAGCAAAUAGAGAAAUAUAACAAACAAAUUAUAGAAUAAAGAAUAUACUCUUUCUAUAUGAUA